ACCUCUCUUCUACCUUAUUUUGACAGCUGUAUCAACCUACUGACACCAGGGCGAAACAACAGAAAAUAAGCAGCAGUGCUACGAACUCAUGCCAGCUGUCCUGUCAGUCAGAGCUUUACGAGAGAUAAUCUUGGCGCCUGAGAUUUCAGUGUGACACUGAGAAUGAAUCUGCUGACCAUGCAUUUGCACCCAAAUUAAAGAAAAGGCAGACCUUGUAUUCACAGAGUCACUACAUAAAGGCAUUCAGAUCUUCCCAGCUCUCUUAAUUUCCUGCUGAAGUAAAGCAGUAAUUUCACCUGAAGGCUAAGG
rnacentral:lncRNA from 7 species